AAACGUUUUGUUAUGCAGAGAGAAAUUGAGACACCAGAGCACUUACGUAUUCUGAACCGUAGUGUCUUGUCAAUUUUUAUAAAGCGAUUUCACUGGAACAUUGAGCAAGCAGAUUUAUUGAUAUUCAAGCUAAUAUACGAUUAGAUAUGCCUGCGUACCUGUUACGUAAUUGCCUACCACACGAGGUGCGCUCAUUAGCCUAAUUUCUCUUAUAUAUGCAAUAUUUGCGAGAUAUGUAGUUCGUUACUUCGACCUCGCGGCUGGAAUAAUUAAAGCUCAUCAAGAUGUAACGCCGAGGAGCGCAUCGAGUGGACGGGGUGGAUGGAUAAGAAUAUGAGAUCUAUUUGAGUUAUGAUUAAAUAUUAUAAAAAUUAUAUGAUCGUGGAAGCGCCGAGAGUCGUUCCCAGACGUCUCAGAGUCGUUUUAUCUCGAAAACGCAGCUAAUUGCGAGUAUAAUUAACACCGCCGAGUGACGUAACGUCCCGCACCGCUCUCGACUUAUGGAUAUUCAUGAGCAAUAAGUGACGUGAAGGAUGUUGUUCUUCCAAGUCCUAGUACGCCGCGCUCUUUAACGUAACGCCGCGCACGUAAUUGAAGUCCGGUGAGCGAUAAUUAUCCGGGUAUUUACAUAAACGUGAAAAACUCAUUCAUAUAACGUGUAAUGAGCUUUAGAGGAAAAAAUUGAUGUCAACACUGUGACGCAUGAAGAAAUGCGUUACCCAAUGUACGCGCAUAACUUAGGAAUCGACAAAACUUUAUUUACCGCGAUCACACGUGAUGUUUUGAAGUUUUCAUAAACUUUAUAUAUAAGUCUCUGUAGAUGUUACUAAAAUACUGAAUAUUGUGAUUUAUAAAAAUGUCGAGAAUAUCAGAAUAAACGGCAUGAGAUUAUAGCUUCAAUAAUAA